AAGUUCCCUUCUGUCCACUAACUCCUUCUGUCUCCGAGACCUGACUCAAGCACAGAAAGGGAGAGCUAAUUUUUGGGCCCCCUUUAUUUAUUUAAGCUGUAGCACUCUGCUCUGUGCUUCUGAAGUCACCUGCAGAGGUGACUGGGAGUCAGAAGCACUAAUUUGAUAGAGGAAGGGGCGGAGCUCUGCUCAGGAGACCUUAGGCUUUAUCAGGCUUUCCCACUCUGGGGCUAAUGCCUCCUCCAGCCUAAAGCACAGGUUUGGAUCUCUCCACCCAAUACCGGCAAGACACCAGCCCUGGGAGUGGUGGAGGCUGGGGGCUCUCCGAAACCAGGACCAUGCAUUGCACCAGGAGAAUGGAGGAUAGGGGUUCGCAAGACUACCAAGCAUGGACAGUCAGGGGCUCACCACCUACAGCCCCUCAAGAAGAUGUGUUGGCGGAGUCAGGAGGCCCUGGGAUUCUCCUGAGCCUUCACUUGAGAUAGGCAAAGGGUCCAGGAGUUCACAAGGAUCUCCCUGUGUAGCCCAGAAUGGCUUGGAACUCAAUGUCCUCCCCCAGGAUUACAAGCACCAACCCCACACCUAGCAAAACUCCCCACUUAUAAGGGGGCUCCCAGUCCUGGAGAGAUGGCUCUGUGGGUUAAGAGCACUGACUGCUCUUCCAGAGGACUUGAGCAACCACACGGCCGCUAACAACUGUCUAUAGCGCCAAGACCGGCCACCCUCACACAGACAUACAUGCAGGCAACACCACCCAAACAUAUAAAAUAUCAAUAAAUAUGAUUUUUAAAAAGUAAGGGGGUUCCAUGCUCUUCCUUGGAAGCAGCAGCCCCUUUCCAGCCUUCCUGUCUCAUUUCAAGAUGAGCUAUGACAGUGUGCUUGGACUGAGUCCCCUUCCUACCUUCCACUGAGAUCCUAGUUUGAUUUUUUUUUUUUUAACUUCAGAGACUGCUGGGUGGCGACCCAUCAGGAUCAUAAAUGUGGAAAAUUGAGAAAAACAUCUGGAGGGAGAUUCAGAUUCCAUUACACUCCAGACUGGUGGGUGACUGGGCUCCCUUGUCCUUUCCAGGGUCCUGCCAGGCUGGGGACCAGUCUCUUUGGAAGGUACUGUAAGCCAGCUAGGUGAAUGGCCCAGAGGAGAGAGGAGCCCUUCCUUAGGGAAGGGCUUAAGGCUGGAGCAGGAAGGGCUUAAGCCAAGUCUGCUGCUACUUUGCCACGAUAUGUUCUCACCAAGAACUGGUCCCGCUCCUCUGAGUGGCGUAGAUGGGAAUUAGCCGUGGCUGGAAAGCAUUAGUGGCCAAAUCAGUCUAAGAUGUCCUGCAAAACCACUUUUCUAUUUUUUCCCCCUCCCUUCCCUUCUGCCUUGACCAUGUUAGGAUUCCCUAAUCCCCACCAACAGACACACAAGAGACAGCUCCCACACAUGUGAGUUCGCUGAGCCUCUGGAACAUGUGCCCAUACACAAAUCACCUCCACCCCCAGCCGAGCGAGCGAGCUAUCACGGUGCAGCUGUGUGUCACAAACGCUGGCCAGCUAUUUCUCACAGCAAAGCACUUUUUUUUUUUCCUCCCUCCUCCAGAACUAAGUAAGCUGGGGAAUGCCCAAGUUUUUCAGCACCCUUAAACAUCAUGACACUCAGACCUACUGUGAACCGCCUUAGCAGCCACUAGGGCUGCAAGCCAGAGCUUGCAUCGAGGUGGGAGAGAGAAGAGAUCCAGUCUCCACUGCGAGGCACACAGCCCAGCUGGAUGGAGAAAAUGCAAGCCAGCCGGCCAACAUCACAAGCUGACCAGUUGUGUCCUGUCAGGAAGCCAGCUGCCUCUGAACCCGCCACAGGACUUACUGUAUUGUUCUGGGUACAAUCAUGAAACCAGCCCCAGCCCUGGGCGAGGGGUGGUUUGGAGAAAAGGUUCUCUCCAGGGUCAGGAUGACAGGGAAGGGGAAGCGGCUUUUAGGCUAGAUCCUGAACAGGAAAGCAAGGAGCCGCCGCCGGGGCACGACCCUUAAACCACGUCGCGUGGAACUUGGAGCAUAUGGUCAGCUCAGGAAACCGCUGGGGUGCGGGAAGCUCUCCGAGUGCGGUUGCCGGGACUUAAGACUCGGGUUAAAGAGCAUAGGUGCUCGCGGGCCAGGAAAGCAAGGGUUUAAUCAGGCCCCGAUUUGAAGGGAGAACUAUGGAAGGAGGCCGGGAGGCACGUGCCUCCCUUCAGUCAGGUUUUCCUACCAAAUCGUUGAGUAAUUAAGUUAAUCGAUAAACAGCCAAACUAUAUGCGCAAUGGGAGAGAGCCCAAGAGGAGAUGGGGCACGGGGUCAGAUCAGAAGCGCCUGCAUUCCAAGGACAGGCUUAGCGGUCUCAGGCUCCCCUGCCCAAGAAGCCGGGCUGGGAGCAGAGCUCAGCAGGCCCGGGGCGGGGCACCGCAGACUGGGUUAUCCCAGUUAGAGGAACCAGGCUAGCUAGCUGAAACCAGCAGGCUCCCUGUCAUGCGGGCUCCGAAGCCUCAAAGGUGGUGAGGACCACAGCCACCUAAUGGGUCCCUGACACCGAUCCCACUCUCACCCAGCUCAGGGCCUCGUAAGGCUGCAACACUAGCCAAUCUGGGACAAGGGACACGGAGUGGUCCCUCCACCGUCCACACGCACUUCACCUGUGCAGGUGAGCAGGCUUCCGCGAUGCCUCUCGCUCUGGGGCCAUACCGGGGUUUCUCUGAUCCUAGAACUUCGAGUUUCCCGGUUGUCGCCUGGACUCAGACUUUCCCCAGGCUCUCAAGUGGCAAGAUCGUCGCCCCCCCCCCCCCCCCCACUUAAGUCCCACUAAUUGACCAUACCCGGCACAAACUAAGGUACUCACAA